GAAUUGUUCGCAAUGGGCGCAAGCCUGACGACGCAACGCCGCGUGGAGGACGAAGAUCUUCGGGUCGUAAACUCCUGUCGAGCGGGACGAACACUUUCCGGGUCAACAACCCGGAAGGCUGACGGUACCGCUAAAGGAAGCCCCGGCUAACUCCGUGCCAGCAGCCGCGGUAAUACGGGGGGGGCAAGCGUUGUUCGGAAUUACUGGGCGUAAAGGGCUCGUAGGCGGCCGACUAAGUCAGACGUGAAAUCCCUCGGCUCAACCGGGGAACUGCGUCUGAUACUGGCCGGCUUGAAUCCGGGAGAGGGAUGCGGAAUUCCAGGUGUAGCGGUGAAAUGCGUAGAUAUCUGGAGGAACACCGGUGGCGAAGGCGGCAUCCUGGACCGGCAUUGACGCUGAGGAGCGAAAGCCAGGGGAGCAAACGGG
rnacentral:rRNA from 1 species